UUGGAGGGCAAGUCUGGUGCCAGCAGCCGCGGUAAUUCCAGCUCCAAUAGCGUAUAUUAAAGUUGUUGCAGUUAAAAUGCUCGUAGUUGAACUUCGGGGUUUACCCAUUGGUCAGGCUUAAUUGUCUGUACUGGUGAGAUGAAUCUCUACCUUCUGAGGAACUUUCAUGCCAUUUAUUUGGUGUGAUGGGAAAUCAGGACUGUUACUUUGAAAAAAUUAGAGUGUUUAAAGCAGGCUAACGUCUGAAUACAUUAGCAUGGAAUAAUGAAAUAGGACGGACUGAUUCUAUUUCGUUGGUUUCUAGGAUCACCGUAAUGAUUAAUAGGGAUAGUUGGGGGCAUUAGUAUUCAAUUGUCAGAGGUGAAAUUCUUGGAUUUAUUGAAGACUAACUACUGCGAAAGCAUUUGCCAAGGAUGUUUUCAUUAAUCAAGAACGAAAGUUAGGGGAUCGAAGACGAUCAGAUACCGUCGUAGUCUUAACCAUAAACUAUGCCGACUAGGGAUCGGAUGAUGUUAAUUUUUUAAUGACUCAUUCGGCGCCUUACGGGAAAC
rnacentral:rRNA from 1 species